rnacentral:rRNA from 1 species
AACGCGAAGAACCUUACCUGGGUUUGACAUACACCGGAAAGCCGUGGAGACACGGCCCCCGCAAGGUCGGUGUACAGGUGGUGCAUGGCUGUCGUCAGCUCGUGUCGUGAGAUGUUGGGUUAAGUCCCGCAACGAGCGCAACCCUUGUCCCAUGUUGCCAGCGGGUUAUGCCGGGGACUCAUGGGAGACUGCCGGGGUCAACUCGGAGGAAGGUGGGGACGACGUCAAGUCAUCAUGCCCCUUAUGUCCAGGGCUUCACACAUGCUACAAUGGCCGGUACAGAGGGCUGCGAAGCCGCGAGGUGGAGCGAAUCCCACAAAGCCGGUCUCAGUUCGGAUCGGGGUCUGCAACUCGACCCCGUGAAGUCGGAGUCGCUAGUAAUCGCAGAUCAGCAACGCUGCGGUGAAUACGUUCCCGGGCCUUGUA